UGGGGCUGGGGCUCAGUGGUAGAGUGCUCAUCUUGCAUGUGUGAGGCCCUGGGUUUGAUCCUCAGCACCACAA
rnacentral:tRNA from 1 species